UGACUUAUACAAAAGAGCAAAGGUUGAAUCUGUGUUGGAUUGGCAUCGUACUAACUUCCCUCGCGGUCCAGGUUCAUAUACCUUUUAUUCUGUUCUUGCUCCUACUGUUGGGUUGCCUUUAAAUACAAAAGCAGCAGCAAGAACUGAGAAGAUGUUUAUAGCAUGUCUUGCAACGAUCGAGUCUGUUUGGCUCCAGAAAAAAGGACGUUUUUUGCUUGGGAGUGACCAACCUUCAAUUGCAGAUCUUAG
rnacentral:misc_RNA from 1 species